AGGUUCCAUAGUUCGGUGGUAGAGCAUUUGACUGCGGAUCAAGAGGUCAACGAUUCGAACCCGAUUGAGCCCU